CGAAAAUCUUCAAAACCUUGUGCUUUUUAUACAAUAUGUAUGUUCAAUUGCAAUACUUGCUGUGGGUUUAUACAGAAAUACUAAAGACUUCAAAGUGGAUCUCGCCCUAUUGAAAUCAUGCGGUUUUUUUAUAAUAGUCUUAUUCCAACCAUUUCUGUAUUGUUACUUUGGAGAUAUGGUUACUAGAGAGGUUGAGAAUGUAAAAAUGGCUUUAUACGAAAGUGAUUGGAUCGGUAGUCGAUUAAGAUAUCAGCGGCUUAUGCUCCUAAC